AGGAGUUGCAGAUGAGGCGGGAGCGCUUGAGAGAAAGAGAGGAAAAGGUGAAAAAGGAAGAGGAGAAACUUACUUACUGCAAGAAAAUGAGGCAAGACGGUUACAUGCCAUAGAAUAAACAAACGAAGAGGAAGCUAAAAUUAAAGAGAAGGAAGACAAUAUUAAGAAACUAAAGGCACAGCAUAAAGCCCUACUGACACGAAAAGAGCUACUGGCCAAACGGCACCAGGAGAGCACUGCAAAGAUGCCCAGAAAGAACACUGGUCGAGGCUGUGGCGGCACGCAGUCUAUCAGAAAGGAAAUUCUAGAAAGACAAGCUGAUGUUGAGAAAGAGGCAGAGCGCAAAAAGCUGGAACUGAUGAAGGACAUAAAGGAACAGCGAACUCUUGUCCUGCACUAUACCAACCAACUGCAGCAGCAACAGAGAGAGCUAGACAACAUACGCUCAGAAACAUGCAAAUGGGAAAUUAAACGGGAGGACUUGCGUUCCACUGCAAAAAGAGAGGAGCUCCAGUAUGCUCAGAUAAAGGUUGGGAUUUGUUCAAUUUAUCAAAUGAUCGCACCUUACUGGAGAGCCUCUGUGGAUACUGAGGACCC
rnacentral:lncRNA from 1 species